GGGGUUGUGGCUCAGAGGUAAAGCACUUGCCUCACACAUGUAAGACACUGAGUUCAAUCCUCAGCACCACA
rnacentral:tRNA from 1 species